CGGUACGAACGCUGGCGGCGUGCCUAACACAUGCAAGUCGAGCGGGGUUGAAGCGAGGGGUAACUCAAGCUUCUACCUAGCGGCGGACGGGUGAGUAACGCGUGGGCAACCUGCCUCAAGGUCUGGGAUAACAGCUCGAAAGGGCUGCUAAUACCGGAUAUGCCUAUGGCCUCGCAUGGGGCUAUGAGCAAAGGGGAAACCCGCCUUGAGAUGGGCCCGCGUCCCAUCAGCUAGUUGGUGAGGUAACAGCUCACCAAGGCGACGACGGGUAGCCGGCCUGAGAGGGUGACCGGCCACACUGGGACUGAGACACGGCCCAGACUCCUACGGGGGGCAGCAGUGGGGGAUCUUGCACAAUGGGCGAAAGCCUGAUGCAGCGACGCCGCGUGAGCGAAGAAGGCCUUCGGGUUGUAAAGCUCUGUCUGGAGGGACGAAGGAAGUGACGGUACCUCCGGAGGAAGCCACGGCUAACUACGUG
rnacentral:rRNA from 1 species